rnacentral:rRNA from 1 species
UGAAGAGUUUGAUCAUGGCUCAGAUUGAACGCUGGCGGCAGGCCUAACACAUGCAAGUCGAACGGUAACAGGAAGCAGCUUGCUGCUUUGCUGACGAGUGGCGGACGGGUGAGUAAUGUCUGGGAAACUGCCUGAUGGAGGGGGAUAACUACUGGAAACGGUGGCUAAUACCGCAUAACGUCGCAAGACCAAAGAGGGGGACCUUCGGGCCUCUUGCCAUCAGAUGUGCCCAGAUGGGAUUAGCUUGUUGGUGAGGUAACGGCUCACCAAGGCGACGAUCCCUAGCUGGUCUGAGAGGAUGACCAGCCACACUGGAACUGAGACACGGUCCAGACUCCUACGGGAGGCAGCAGUGGGGAAUAUUGCACAAUGGGCGCAAGCCUGAUGCAGCCAUGCCGCGUGUAUGAAGAAGGCCUUCGGGUUGUAAAGUACUUUCAGCGGGGAGGAAGGUGUUGUGGUUAAUAACCGCAGCAAUUGACGUUACCCGCAGAAGAAGCACCGGCUAACUCCGUGCCAGCAGCCGCGGUAAUACGGAGGGUGCAAGCGUUAAUCGGAAUUACUGGGCGUAAAGCGCACGCAGGCGGUCUGUCAAGUCGGAUGUGAAAUCCCCGGGCUCAACCUGGGAACUGCAUUCGAAACUGGCAGGCUUGAGUCUUGUAGAGGGGGGUAGAAUUCCAGGUGUAGCGGUGAAAUGCGUAGAGAUCUGGAGGAAUACCGGUGGCGAAGGCGGCCCCCU